rnacentral:misc_RNA from 1 species
GAUGAAGAACGUAGCGAAAUGCGAUAAGUAAUGUGAAUUGCAGAAUUCAGUGAAUCAUCGAAUCUUUGAACGCACAUUGCGCCCCUUGGUAUUCCGAGGGGCAUGCCUGUUCGAGCGUCAUUAUAACCCCUCAAGCUCAGCUUGGUGUUGGGGCCUGCUGCACUGGCAGCCCUUAAAAUCAGUGGCGGCGCCAUCUGGCUCUAAGCGUAGUAAUUCUUCUCGCUAUGGAGUCCUGGUGGAUGCUUGCCAUCAACCCCCAAUUUUUCUAUGGUUGACCUCUGAUCAGGUAGGGAUACCCGCUGAACUUAAGCAUAUCAAUAGCGGAGGA